GGGCAAAGGCUGUUGCUCAGUGGUAGAACAUCUGCUUUACAUGCAGAAGGUCUCAAGUUCAAUCCUGGGCAUUUCCCA